rnacentral:rRNA from 1 species
UACGUAGGGUGCGAGCGUUGUCCGGAAUUAUUGGGCGUAAAGAGCUCGUAGGCGGUUUGUCGCGUCGUCCGUGAAAACUUGGGGCUCAACCCCAAGCUUGCGGGCGAUACGGGCAGACUUGAGUACUGCAGGGGAGACUGGAAUUCCUGGUGUAGCGGUGAAAUGCGCAGAUAUCAGGAGGAACACCGGUGGCGAAGGCGGUUCUCUGGGCAUUACCUGACGCUGAGGAGCGAAAGUGUGGGGAGCGAACAGG